rnacentral:rRNA from 1 species
GAUGAACGCUAGCUACAGGCUUAACACAUGCAAAUCGAGGGGCAGCGGGGUGUAGCAAUACACCGCCGGCGACCGGCGCACGGGUGAGUAACACGUAUCCAACCUGCCGAACAUUCGGGGAUAGCCUUUCGAAAGAAAGAUUAAUACCCGAUGGCAUGCGUUCCCCGCAUGGGGGACGCGUUAAAGAACUUCGAUGUUCGAUGGGGAUGCGUUCCAUUAGGCAGUUGGCGGGGUAACGGCCCACCAAACCGACGAUGGAUAGGGGUUCUGAGAGGAAGGUCCCCCACAUUGGAACUGAGACACGGUCCAAACUCCUACGGGAGGCAGCAGUGAGGAAUAUUGGUCAAUGGACGAGAGUCUGAACCAGCCAAGUAGCGUGAAGGAUGACUGCCCUAUGGGUUGUAAACUUCUUUUAUAGGGGAAUAAAGUGGGCCACGUGUGGCUUAUUGUAUGUACCUUAUGAAUAAGGAUCGGCUAACUCCGUGCCAGCCGCCGCUGUAA